CUCCGGCAUGAUUGGCUGUACAGGCUGUCCUUCAGUCAAGAAGGAAGCCCACACAGCCAGCUCCCCCACCUCUCUGCAGCCUUGCUGAGUGCAGAGCGGACGCUCUCCAGUCACCAAUGCAUUAUCGUCAUCUGCACACUGACAUCAUGGAAAUAGGAGCACGGAGAUUCCCACUGGUUUCCAUCGGCAUUGGAUGAGGCUCAUUUACUAAAGGAAAAGAGCUCAGCUGCCACAAUCAUCCAAAUGCCAUGGAUAUCCUGCAUCUGGAAUGUUUGGGACACAAAUAUGGGAAGUGUAUCUGAACAUAAUCAGAUCGCUACUAGUGAUAUUCCGAUUACCAGUCCAGUAUUUGCUCUGCUAAAACACAUUUGAGCCAGUCUGCCUGUCUCUGUCUCAGUCAUUCUCUUUUAAGGUUCCUGUUCAUAACUUUGUGUCCUUUCCGUUAGUCCUAAUAAAAUAAUGAAAUUUGCCAGA